AACGGAAAGGCCUUUUCGGAGGUACUCGAGUGGCGAACGGGUGAGUAACACGUGGGUGAUCUGCCCUGCACUCUGGGAUAAGCCUGGGAAACUGGGUCUAAUACCGGAUAGGACUGCACUUUAGUGUGUGUGGUGGAAAGUUUUUUCGGUGUAGGAUGAGCCCGCGGCCUAUCAGCUUGUUGGUGGGGUAAUGGCCUACCAAGGCGGCGACGGGUAGCCGGACUGAGAGGUUGGUCGGCCACAUUGGGACUGAGAUACGGCCCAGACUCCUACGGGAGGCAGCAGUGGGGAAUAUUGCACAAUGGGCGCAAGCCUGAUGCAGCGACGCCGCGUGGGGGAUGACGGCCUUCGGGUUGUAAACUCCUUUCGCCAGGGACGAAGCGUUUUG
rnacentral:rRNA from 1 species